rnacentral:rRNA from 1 species
AGCCACAGCCAUAUCACUAUGCAGUCCAAGACCGUUUAUUCACUGAAGCCAAGUAGGGUUGAGCCUUUUUGGUUCCCUGGAUGGGAAACCUAAUUGGAAAACUAGGUUGUUGUUGGAA